GCUGAGGUAGUGUAGUGGUUAGCACGUAGGAUUUUGAUUCCUGAAUCCCCGGUUCGAACCCGGGCCACAGCU